GAUGAACGCUAGCGGGAGGCUUAACACAUGCAAGUCGAGGGGCAGCAUAGGGUAGCAAUACUCUGAUGGCGACCGGCGCACGGGUGAGUAACACGUAUGCAACCUACCCUGUACAGGGGGAUAACCCGGAGAAAUUCGGACUAAUAUCCCAUACUGAUAUUGAGGGUCAUCCUUUAAUAUCUAAAGCUCAGGCGGUACGGGAUGGGCAUGCGGAACAUUAGCUAGUUGGGAGGGUAACGGCCUACCAAGGCAACGAUGUUUAGGGGACCUGAGAGGGUGAUCCCCCACACUGGUACUGAGACACGGACCAGACUCCUACGGGAGGCAGCAGUGAGGAAUAUUGGUCAAUGGGCGCAAGCCUGAACCAGCCAUCCCGCGUGCAGGAAGACGGCCCUAUGGGUUGUAAACUGCUUUUCCAGGGGGAGAAUUUUUCUGUCGUGACAGGAAUUGACGGUACCCUGGGAAUAAGCAUCGGCUAACUCCGUGCCAGCAGCCGCCGUAAAAC
rnacentral:rRNA from 1 species